AUUCUCUUAAGACUCAAAGUAUGACAUAACAUACUAUAACAUCAACAACAUCUUGCAGCGGAAAGUAGCUAGACAUAUGUAUGAAGACAUAUUCUAGACAGGUUAACUAUUUAUUAACAACCCUGGAGACUCCGCUCAUUGCAGCACCAUCAUCACAUCAGCUCAACCUGCACAUUUAGAAAACAUAUGCAGGGCUGAGUACAAAAGCACUCAGUGGGCACGUAUGCCUAGGUAUAAAAAUACAUGCUUCAAAACUGUAAAUUGUCAUGCCAUCAUAAACAGUACAGCAAGGGAGUUUUUCGCUAAAAAGGCCCAAGCUUACUAAAUUCAUUUGUGAUUCUUAAAGUUCGUCUGCAGACUAAGUUCUCUUGUAAUCUAUCAUAUCUGGAACUUUGUGCCGGAGAGGUGGCCACCUCUCACGGUCACUUGACCGGCCAACCCGCUAGAUGACUCACGGUCACUGGUGUACACUAGCCCUGGCAGGAUAGCUAUCAACUGCUCAGGACCCGAAUUCGAUUGCAUCAUUGGCAAAGCCAAAGCAGAUAGAUAUCAUACUAAAAUUUAAACAUUUUAUGGCAAGACAAUACUUGAAAUAACUUUAACUCAAAUAUUUUGUAACGAAAUAACUUGCUCAAAUGUAACAUUAAACUCAUUUGAUAGAUAUAUAAAACUGAAAUUAACAGUUAAAUCAUCUCAUGCAUUCAUUCGUAUAAGAGGCCUACGACACGCAGGGGAUCUCUAUAUACGUAUAGUAAAAGUAAUGCCCACCUGAUUGAAACUUUCUGUGGUACAGUAGCUCCUUGACUGAUUAUUAAUCUCGUGCUUGACCUUUAUUACGAGAAUAUAAAUAAGAUUUUAAUUCAAGGAAAUUCUCAAAUAAAUGAGGAUGCGUAAUGUAAUUAUGCAUGACUCAUAUUCCUUUAAUUAUUAAUCCAACUAUUGGAUUAAAACUCGUCUUAUGAUACAAGAUUAUAAAUCUUAAUAAUCCACUCAUCUUGAAUUAGUCUAACUCACUUACCAACUAACCAUUAGCAAGUAUUAAAAUUAAUCACUAAUUAAAAUAAUUAGGAUUAAUAAAGGGGGCCUAAAUUAAUAAGUCUCAUUGGGCUUAACUAAAUAAUCUCAUUGGACUUAAUCAACUAAAAAGUAGGAGCCCAAAUGAUAAAAUCUCGAAGCCCAUUUUAAAUAAAUUAAAAUUUUCCCAAUGAAAUAAAGCUGGCCCAAAUGAAUUAAUUCCUCAAGCCCAAUCACAAAAAUUUCAAGAGCCCAAAAAAAAAGAGCCCAAAAUCCUCACUCUCUCCCUCAAUCUCGGUUCUCUCUCUAUUUCUCAAAAUUAGUCUCAGCCAUUUCUCUCUCUCUUUCUCUUCAAAUCUCUCUCUUCUUCUUCUCAAGGUCCGAAUCUCUCUCCUCUUUUUCUCAAGGCCGACGCUCGGCCUCUUCUUCUCCGCCGAGGACCGCUCGGCCACUUCCGUCCAGAAGUCUCGCCGCCUCUUGCUCCGGUCGGCGUCUGCUGCCUCCGUCGAGCGGCCGCUGCUCCGGACCUUGGCACCAGUAUACCUCCUUACAUCUCUCUUUCUCGCACCGCCCUCAGCCGAGGAGUCCGCUGCCGCAGCUCCGGAAUCCGGCAAAUCAGUCGGCGCCUUCUCCUUCUCACACCUCUAUUCUCCGUCUCGAUUCACGGACGAAGGCAAAAUGAAAAGAGAGCCCUGAUUUCCUCCCCAAAUCAGAGAGCGCCGCCGCCGCUGCAACUAGAAGGCUGGCGAAGAUCUGGUGCAACCGCCGCCGUCCGCCGACACGCCUGGAAGCUCUAUCGCCGGACGUCGCCGCUGCUGAGGUAACGCCGCCGCCCGGAGUUGCAGCUGCCUUGCCCGGAAUCGAGGUCGCUGGUCUGAUCUCCAGCAGCCCGCCUCGCUCAGAGCCACCGCCGCCGUCGUCAACUGGAGUCUCAGCGGCCACGGUCUCUCUUGGAUCCGCCGGCGUCGUUGUUGUUCCAGAGUUGACGAGGGACGACAGGUAGCUUCUGCCGACAGCGGCCGGCUCGUUGGAGCUGCCCUUCCCCGGAGUCCGACUCGUUCUCCUCCUUUCUUAAAGCUAAGUUCAACCUCUCUACCUCCCCUUUUUUUUUAUGCUAAGUUAGACUAGUGCAGGGAGUUCUCAUAGAAUCACCACACACACAGAUCAUAGUGAAGUAUCUAAGCAUAUUGUUUUUUCUCGAGCAAGUAAACUGCCCGUUAGUAAUAUUCUACCUCUUUAAAGCAUUCCAUGAUUUGUUCUAUCCUGAUGUAAAGUAUAAUGUUGCUAAGCUUAGCCAAUAGCAUAUAUAAAGGUCCUCUGUUAUUCUAACUUGCUAUUUUUCUAUACAACUGAAACGUGUUUGAUGGGUAUGAGCAUGUAACAUGAAUUAAAAACUGAGAUAGUAAAUACCUUGUGUAUUUUGUGCUUGGUUGGCUGAUGUAUUUUUCUUUAGUUCAGUGGGGAUUUGCUUAAGUUUAAGCAGAAACUUGAAUGAUCUCUCUCUCUUGUUGUUGGCGUGUGAAGAAGUGAAUGGAAUUGCU
rnacentral:lncRNA from 1 species